GGGCUCGUUAGCCGCUCCGCGGGCUCGCGCUUCUGCCGGACGGCGAGAGCCCACCUGAAGCGCCCGUUCGUACCCGUCAAGGCUUUCCCUGAGCGCGUCCCCGCUCCGCUUUCCUACCAGGCUGCGAUCUAAGAAAACCACUCGCGCUGCGCUUGGCCGGCUGCCAUCCCGGCCCCGCUGGCAUUCCCGCGGCGGACGAAGCGCCCCGGGCCGUGCAGCCGGGACGGCGGUGCUCGCCGUGCUCCCCGCUCGGCGCCCAGGGCAAGUCCCGUUCGGGUUUAAGCCUCCACCGCGCACGGGCUGCAGCUCUGCAUAGGACGGAGAUUUUUUUCUUGGUCUUGCACUGAAAUGCCCAUGUUUUAAACAGAAAAGGGGCACGGUCCCAAUCCAUGCCCAGCACCGCGUCCGUGGGGUGGUAGCAGGAACUGAUACAGGGUCCUCGGGUGCGGAAGUUCCUGUUUUUCAUCUAUUUCAUCUGUCUUAUUCAUCAGGUACCAGACGGAAACAUCGGAGGUGCAAGCUGAGGCAUUUUGAGGGACUGCUGGGGGCUUUGGAGCCUCUGCUUUUGACCCAGCAGGAUUCGGCAAUUCAGGCUCAGAUCCGGAAAGGUCUUGGAGUUUCCAUCUCCCACGGACACACUUCCCGUCCCCCCACGGCUCACCUCCGGCCGGGGAGAGGGCUAGCGCUGAGGCCCCUCUGCCCCCUCGUAAGGGCUUGGAGAGCUCCUGCGGCCUCGCAUCCCGGCCAGCUCCGCGCACGGCAUUGCUCUGCUCUUGUUUUCGCCAAAAUUGAUGCUUUGGGCUCCUGCUACCUGGGCUGAGCAGCGAGGGCUGCGGCGGCCGUCGGAGAGGUUUCCAGCAGGGCCCCGGCCGUGACCCUGGCGGAAGGUAGAGCCGUCCGAGCAAGUUGACGCGAGGUCCAGCUGAGCCCACAUCCAUCCCCACACCGUGUGCACGUGGCAACGUCUCCAGAAUGUCUCCUUUACCGCAUCCCAUUGGCACCGUAAACCUCCGACGGCAGCUUGCGGUGUCGCAGGUCGCUUGGGGACCCUGUCUGCAGACCCUUGCCUUGUCGUCACCUUACGCACCGGUCCCUGGCAAGGAAGCUGGGGUCUCUCUUGCAGCCAUCACCUCCUCGUGGCUCUUCUCUUGCGGAUGCUGUGCACGUCUGGUUCUGACAGCGCGGAGUACAGCACACGUUACCCCCGGAGAGCGGAGCGUUGAAGGAUGUGGCACAGGAGGGUGAAAUACAGGCGGACGUUUCUAGUGAUUGUUCAGCGCUUUUCCUCUGUGCGCUUCUAGAGCGGACCGCAGCCCGAGAAAGGAUGUCAAGACAGGAAGGAUAUCGAGUUGGCUUCGGUUCUGUGAUACAAAUAGCUUAAAUGACCUUUCUCUAGCAAAACACCAACUAUCACUGCAUGGAUUUAUUCUAAAGGGUUGUCAGCUGCGGAAGAGUGCAGCCAUCUCGCAAAUAGGAAAUUCAAAGACAGAUAGAUGAACAGAUAGGUAGAUAGACGGAUGCGUGUGCGGUAGGUAGAGAAACAGAGACGGACAGACAAAUGCAGCCUUCGCACAACCUUAUUUUAAGGUCCCUGGUUUGUAAUCCUGUGGGUUCUGAUGCCUCUGGAAGGGGACUUCAUGUAUCUUCCCACCGCUCCUGAGUGUGGCAGUAUUUGCACAGUGUUAAUCUCUCAGGCCUGAUCCUGUACUCCUUCCCCUCAAACAUGGUUCCCAUCCAGAUGGGGAAACUGAGGCACAGAGCAGCAAAGUAGCUUUCUGAGGGCCACAGAAGAUGCGAGAAGCAAUGCAAGGAAUGGCAGACCCAAGGAUGGAGCCCCAAUCCUCCAUCCCCUCUUCUAACCGUUGCCCCUCGCCGGGGUGCCCAGGAUGUGAUCCCUCUCUCACUUCUAAGAAGAUGUUGCCUCCUUUAAAGGGCAGCGAAUACCCACCUACAGCAUUUUGUAUGCGUGCAUGAGUCAUGCAGGAAGAGCCGAUAGGCGCGAGGUGGGAGCUGGGCACUUUCCAGGAAAAGCUGGGCUGAAACCGCAGAAGCCGUUUCCUCCCAGACGAGAGCCAUCCUACCCCACCAGCAACCGCUGCUUUGCGUGUGCCGAUCCCUCCGGAGGCUGAGAUUUGCUUCCAUGCCUCUGCACCCCAGAGCUGCCCCACAUCCACCCCCGGACUGCUCCCAACCGCGGGGCCUGGCAUUAGGAAGACCAUGAAGGCCUGGGACCAUCGCUGCUUCAUUGCUCUUUCUGCUUCUACUACGUCUCUUGUGGCUGCUUCUGAGCACGCUGCUCAGGGGCUCAUAGCUGAAAGAGGUAAAGAUCGGUGGGUACUUGUCUUUCCCGUGGGACAUAACAUGUGGCCUAUGAAAGCCUUGAUUUUUUCCCACCUUCCUAACACUUUGCACCAGCAGCAGUUACACCAGGGAUGUAAUUCCAUCUUCACCUGUCCAAACCUGGGCCUCCGCAGCUCCGCUGGAGAAACUACCCCGUCACCUCGUUAGCAGUAACAGGCUCGGAGGCCGUCAGUCUCUGCACAGCCGCCCUAAGCUGUUCUGCCAGGUUUAACUCAAAGCAGGCUGCCAUGCCCUGAGCAAAAUCCCUCCUGCACCGCGGGAGGGACCGGGGUUCGCACAGCGUGGAGCAGCCCAGCUGCUGCUCUCCUGCCUGUUGCCGUGUGGCUGCGGCUAUAGAGGUGCAAACGCUGACUUGGGUGGUUCACCCAAUUCCUCGUAUCCAGGAGAGGUGAAAGGAAGGAAAUCAGGGAGCUGCAGAGCGGUUGAGGUUGGAAGAGACCUAUGGAGACCAGCUAGACCAACAAGCACCCCAGCUCCUGGGACACGGUUACGUUGCAGUUCUUUCCCUAGGUGGGACCAUACCUACGGGCUCAACCAGACAGCAAUAGAAAUCAGCCCAAGAAAUAACUAUGUUAAUCUAAGCUUGGCUACUGAUAGGUAGCAAAGAUUGUCUGAAAUGUUCUGAAAAUGUCAAAACCCCAGGAAUGUUUCUUCGCUGCGUCUCCUCAGCCCAGCCCUGCUUUCGCUGUGAGAUCAUCCUCGCUCACAGGCCCACAAACACCAAUCAUGUGCGCUCUAUAAACAUCUAAUGGAAGAGACACUUUUAAUGUAAUUAUAAUUUAAGCAUAAAAUAUGUCACUUCUGUAGGAUUUUGUUGUCUGGUGCGUAAUUACUUUAUGGCCCUAUAAAAAUAUAUUACAUUAUGAUGCCUUGCUGUGCUCUGCUCAGAUAAUUUAUUGCACAGUAAUAGUGUGGAACAAUAUUCAAGAUCAUUGUAUCCAGUCUAGCAUACAAAUAAAAAUUGUG